GACUGGGAUUGCUUCACAUAUGAGGAGGGUUGAUGCUGAGUUGGGCAUCAUCUUUCAGAAAUAGCAUCACAUCACAUUAAAAGUUGCUACUAGAGUUGUCUGGGUAAAGGGAGACAAUGGUAGAGAGAAGUGAUGGGGAGGGAGGAUGAGAAAGAGACAAAGACUUAAUGUGUGAGUGAGUAUAUAUUUUAGAGGUUUACUGUUUGUCAACAAAGUACAUGGGGGUAGAGCUGAUUGUGUGUUUGAUGAUAUCGACAUGGUUAUCUGGAUUUCUGUGGUAAUGAAACCUCCAGCAGCAAGUAGCAAUGGUGAAGGAGGACACCAAGCAAGCAAGCUUGAGCAGUUGUUCUGGAACCUCCAGCAUUGGCAGUGAUGAUGAAUAAAACAGCUGGGCUGUUGAAUGGAAAGAAAAUGGUGAAGGAAGAAGAAAUUGUGAGAAGGAGAAUCAGUCAUAUAAAAAAAACUUGUCAACUCAGUGUAAACCACAGGCUUCA